AUGGCUAAACACAAGAAAAUUUCAUCCUCUCAUCUUUUUCCGUUCUCCUCUAUGAAAAUACCUCCUCUGUUUCCAUUCAUCGCUCAAAACAUGUUAUCCUCGGUCGCCGAACAACAACGACUUAUGUUCUGUUUCGACUAUUCUCACGGUUACGGUUCGAUUUCAAGUUCGCAUGAUUUAAUAGUAACAACAAGAUACGCUGCUCAUCUCUUGCAGAAAUAUGAAGGUAACAACAAAGCAUAG